rnacentral:lncRNA from 1 species
UUUUUUUUUUUUUGUGAUUGAUUAUAUUGUCAGUCAGCCCAUUUGUCCCGGGAUGCACUGUCAGUAGUGCGCAAGUCUUUCGACGCACGCAAGGUAAUUGUUUAUUCUAGCUUUUUGCCUAAUGUUUACCUUUUGGAUUUGCUGUUAUCUGUAGGAGCCGAGAUUUGUGUACACUGUAGACUUGAAUGUCACCAGAUUGGUGUCCGAGCAGCCUAGAAGCUGGAGUUUCCUGUCAAGGAUGAAGCAGGAUCCCGGUGUCGUGGAGUUUCUCAAACGUGGAGCAGCUGCAAUGGACUUGGUGGAGAUGGCUCAACUUGGUGGGAAAGGUUUUCCAUCUCACCACUGUCCGAGCUCUAAAACAAGAGUUUUGGUCGUUGGAAGUGGACCAGCCGGUCUUUUUGCGGCACUGGCACUGGCUGAAAUGGGAGUGCAAGUGACAUUGGUGGAGAGAGGUUACCCGGUGGAGACCCGAGGCCGGCACAUUGGAAGCCUCAUGGUGAGGCGCAUUUUAAAGGAAGACAGCAAUUUUUGCUACGGAGAGGUAUAAAUCAUCUUUAUCGUGGUUUCUUGAUGAUGGACGCAGUAUAAACUUUAGGGAGGCGCAGGUACGUGGAGUGAUGGAAAGCUUACAACAAGGAUUGGAAAAAACAGUGAAGACGUUCAGACGGUAAUGACUAUUUCUCUUUCUCCCUUCUUCCUUUCUUAUUCAUGGACAUGACAGGUGCUCAAAACACUUGUUCGCUUUGGAGCAUCAGAUGGGAUACUCGUUGAAGGAAAACCGCACAUCGGAACUGAUAAGCUUGUCCACAUUCUCCGUGGCCUUCGUAAUCACUUGAAGACACUGGGGGUAAGCUUGGUUCAUUGUAUGCGUCUUUUAUCACAUCAAUGCAGGUUGAGCUAAUGUUUGGAACUAGAAUGGAAGAUAUUGUGAUACGAAAUGGUCGGGUGAGUGGUAUACAAGUCACCGACUUGGAGAAAACUACGACGGCAACUCUUAGUUGCGAUGCUCUUGUUCUUGCUGUCGGCCAUUCCGCCCGGAACACGUAUGAGAUGCUAUUAUCUCAUGGCGUGUUGCUGUCUGCCAAAGAUUUUGCUGUAAGCCGCGUGUUUCUUGCAAUCCUUUUUUAUUUUUGUCUCGAUGCGAUUGACGCAGUGGUUUUUUAUGUAACAGGUUGGUUUGCGUGUUGAACAUCCCCAGGAGCUGGUAAACCAAAUGCGGGUAAAGAAAACAAUAACAUGAGCCAUUUACUUUCUAAACAAAACAACCUUUAUCACAGUAUCGUGCAUGGGCAUCUCAAGUUCAAAGGGGCAAAGGAAAAGUCCCUGUGGCCGACUACAAGGUUGCUGCUUCGAUAAAUUCCGACGAGCUCCGCUCGUGCUACUCUUUUUGCAUGUGUCCCGGUGGCCAGGUUGAGCUUUGAUUUUCCCUGCUUUCGCUUCUCACCUUUUGUUCUCUCCAGAUCGUUCCAACUAGCACGGACCCGCUGCAUCUUUGUAUUAACGGGAUGUCCUUCUCGAAACGUGCAUCCAAGUGGGCAAAUGCCGCUCUCGUCGUCAACGUAACGUCAAAAGAUGUGGAGCCUUUCAGGGACGGGCAUGGGUCUCUUGCUGGUGUUGCAUUUCAGGUAGCGUGACAUUACCUAUAAGGCUUUGUAUCUAGAUUCCAAACCGCAGAGAGCGAUAGAGAGGGAUGCAGCACUCCUAGGAGGUGGAGAUUUUGUUGUGCCUGCUCAGACAUUGAAAGAUUUCCUGGAUGAUAAGAUUGCAGGUACUAAAACUACAACAAGCGUUACUUUUACAUCUAUUCUUUGCAGGCAACGAGCUUCCAACGUCCAGCUAUAGACUAGGCGUUCGAGAAGCUCCCCUCCACGAGCUGCUCCCUGGAUAUUUGACAGCGGUUUUAAAGAACGCGACUGAAAAGUUCAACCAACAGGUUCUUCGCUACAUUUCUCCGCUUGGUUGGUCUUUCGAGUUUUGGUACUGACACGAGUCUACGACUCUUGCAGCUGCAUGGCUUUAUCGACAGCCGGGCGCUUCUUCAUGGAGUGGAGGUAAGUAGCUUUUCUUUGAAAACGCACGUCCUCGAAAGUAAUAAUACUUUGUUAUUGCAGACAAGGACGAGCUCGCCCGUAAGGAUAGAGCGACAUGCAGAGACUUGCGAGAGCGUCUCUAUACAAGGGCUGUAUCCAGUUGGUGAAGGCGCUGGCUAUGCCGGUGGGAUUGUGAGUGCCGCUGUUGAUGGCAUGAAAGCCGGCCUUUCGCUCGGACGGCUCCUACUGGAGACAACGGUCGGGUAGUGUACCAAGGUUAGUCACGAAAUACCAGAAUUUUCAGCUCUUCUAGCAGGCUUUUGCAAGGUUCCCGCUUCUGCCAUUGCAAGGUUCCCGCUUCUGCCAUGGCUUUUUGUGGAUUUGUGUCUUUUCAUUUUUCUGACUUUUUAGAUCGUCCCAUCUGGCACGGGCCUUUGUAUGGAAAUCUUUCUGGAAACGCGCAUUCAAGCCACGCACGGACACGGUGGUGGUCAGGACAGACUUUUCUUUUCUACAGUUUGAACAAACAGGUGUGUAUUCUACUACGGUUUGUAGUUCUUAGAAACUAACUUUGAGUCUUACAGUUGGAUUUAACCAGUCGCGCUGGGAGCGCUUGGAGUGGAGGUAAGUAGCUAGUCUGACGAGUUUUCGAUGGCGCACUAACUUAUAUUACUGUAGAGGAAGACGAAAUGGAAUGCGAAGAAAACAGAACAUGAAAGUAUGAUACUGGGAAGUCGGGCAUGGCCGACAGCAAUCGAGUGACAUACUGGAUGCUGUCAGAGCGAAGGCAACUUUGUACACAGCUUAAGGUGAUGCAGAGAGGACAUCAUCCAUUUAAAAAUCAAUCGACUCGGCUAGUGUCACUGUUAGUGCUGCUGCUGGUUUCAUCCUUGGAGGACUUGACAACCAGCGCAAUGAACGCACCCACUAGAGCGAGAACAACGCCAGUAAUGAUCAGUGGCUUCUUGAGCUUGUCAGCGGAGGGGGGUUCUUUGGCAGCAGGUUCUUUAUCCUGGAAGAUAAGGGGACAGAGGAAUCGAUCACUUUCCCAACCAAGAACAGGGAAGGAAAACUAUCCAAAACUAACCUCUGGCAACGAGGAUUCGUAGCUGGGACCUUUCGUCGACGACACUCGCUCGUAAGCUCCCGGAUCUCCAGUCUUCCUCUUGGCUAUGUCGGAGGCAAGGCUAUCACUAUCCUCGAAUUUGGCUGGCUUCUUGGCAGCGGCAGCAUAGGAUUGACGCUCCUCACCUCCGGCGGAAGACAUAGCUUGCUACACAGAAAAAAAAAUCGAAACUCGCCUUGAAGAGGUAAAUUUCUCCACGCUCGACGCUCCCUUGAUCGUCUCUCUCUCUCUCUCUCUCGCGCGCGCGCUACUUCCACUUGGUGAUGUUCCUCCCAGGUAUGGAGAAGAGAUAGCGAUGAAGAAAACGAAGAGAAGGCAGCUAUGGUGGCGCCUGUGCAUGCUCGGCACGUGUUGAUGCUACGUGGCCACUUGCAAAACGCUUUCCACUAAUCCAGUGUCAAUGCUAAUCCACGUUUGUUUGUGAGGUGGUCCCGUACAGCGUGCUUCUGUUAGAACCGUACGAGAUUGUCACUCAAUCUAUCACGUUCCAAACCUUGGACCUGUCCAAACAAUUUUAAGACCCACUAGCCUCCCACCACCAACGAACUAUAAUGGCUGGAUGGGAAUCGCAUACUUGCAAGAUUUUAACAUUAUUACCACCACCACCUUAUCACAUUUUUCUUACCUUUCUUCCCUAUCAUAGUAGUAGUGGUUGCAACGGAAGUAAGGAACCAUGCAAGCAACCAAAGGCAACGAAACGAAGGCAAACUUUUCACCCCUGAAACUUUCAACCUUUUUUAUUUCGCUCCAGCCAGAGUAACUUUGGGGAGAAGCUCCCAUGCCUGGCGAUCCAACGGCUGGGAUCCACUGGAGCGUGUUUGUUGGGAAGUGGGUCCGUUUGUACACACCACAUUGUGGCCAGAGGGCGUGGUUUUGUUGUUCGAGAAGACCUUUCCCUUCUUCUUCUUCUUCGUCUUCCUCCUUGGCGAGAACCAAAAGCGAGAGACAAACAAGAAAAGGAGCGAGUGAGGGAGAUCGAUCUCGGCGAGUCUUGGUUGAGUGGUCCACUCAUUCUACGCAUCCAUCCAUUCCAAUCGAUCCAAGCUUGAAGCUUACGAGCUUUGAUUCUAUGUAGAUCGCUUUGGAAGCGAACAAGUAGUGGUCUUUGGAACAAACUCUCCCAGAUCCUUGAAAAGCGGCGGUAUCUCUAAGGUGUGAACUCGAUUUCUCAAGCAGGGUGGUGGUCUUGGCGAGCGAGCGAUCGAUCGCUCGAUAGGAUAGACAGGGAUAGGCACACAAUGCAGCCAAAAAUCUCGAUCUGGUUCGUGUUUCCAGCGGCGGUGGCGCUGCUCUUGUGCUCUAGCUCCACUCUGGUGGCCGCUGGGGACGAUGGCGGCGGCGAUAACGAUCAAGCGGCGCCGCCGGACGCCAAGGGGCUGCGAAAGGUGAUGGUUUCCAGCAGCGUGGCCAUCUCCAAGCUGCGAAUCACAGUGAAGAAAUACCAGCGCGACGACCACCUCAGCGAUUCCAAGACCCAAGCGCUCCUCUCGGAUUGCAUGGAUCUCACGGAGGACUCCAAGGAGGUGCUGGACGAUUCCAUGACCAUUCUCGUCAAGCUCCACGGCGCCAAGAACAAGAGCGGCAAUGAGAGUAGCAGCGGAAGCGGCAGCGGCGCGGAGGAGGAGGAGAUGGAGCUACUGCGCACGAAUCUCAGCGCGGCGCUCACCGACAUCACGACGUGCACGGAUGGAUUGCACGACGAGAUCACCGACGAGUCGGCGCAGACCAAGAAGGCGGUGGUGCGCAUCGAUCGCCAGGCCGCCAAGGUGUCGGAGCUGCUGUCCAAGGCGCUCAAUCUCACCGCCUCGAUCGAUGCCAAGAACUGAUCCAUCCAAUCCAAUCUCAAAUGCAUUGGCGAGUGGGAAGAUCAUCGUUGUUGGAUAGGAAACUUAGAUGAAUACAAAGAAGUUAUAGUCUAUGUGUGGUGUGAAUGGAAAGAAUCGAGGAUUGUGUCAAAGAAUAAAAAACGAGCGAUCCACUCCAGUAAGACGAUAGUUUUUGGACAAGAUCAUCACUCCAACUUUCGCUCAAAGUGUGAUUUUUGAAUUUGUAGUCAAGUCAUGAAAAUUUUCUUUCUCUUUCGAGCUCGAGUGUGUGAUAUGACUGGUUUGUUUACUCUCAGUGUCAGUCCUGGAAGAACCCUAAACUAUGGAAUGCCAGGCAAGCCUACGUCUUUAGCUACGUACAGGCCUGCCUGGAAGACUCUCUAUCCUCUUCAAAGUUAACAAGAUUUUCUUUCUGGCCUUCUUUCUUUUUUACUUCUUCUCGGGCUUUGAAUUUCCCAUCCAGGUGCUGAUCCAUCAAUCCAUCCAUCGAUUGAUCGAUCGAUCUCACAUGCUUUGUAGAUUUUUCUUCUCUGCGGGUGUCUUUGCCUGUUUGGAUCGAUCGAAAGCAACACGACCUUUUCUAUUUUAAAAGAUUUCACAAAGUCAUAUGAUCAAAACCGACCCAACGUGGAGUAGCGGCAUUUGCGAAUUCCACCGGCAAAUCGCCACCAACCUUUCGGAAAAUAAUCUCGUGGCGUUGACGGCUCAGAUCGCGAGCCAUGGCAGGAGACGCAGAGUUGACCAAGCCAAGCUCGUGUUUGACUCCAUGCCGAAACGGAAUGUGGUUUCAUGGACGGCCAUGAUAACCGCAUAUGCCCAUAGCGGGCAUUUAGAUAAGGCAGAAGAGAUGUAUCACAGGAUUCCGGAACGUAAUCUCGUGUGUUGGAAUGUUAUGAUCACUGCCUACUCUCAAUUCGGUUCAUUGGAAUCUGCUCAAAUGGUUUUUGAUAAGAUGGACGAGCGAGAUAUAGUGUCUUGGACGGCAAUGGUGACGGCAUAUGCCCGUUUUGGGCAUGUUGACAUGGCGAGAACAUUGUUUGAUUGCGGCAUGCCGGAACAUAACUCUUAUUCUUGGAAUGCUCUUCUCCAAACGUAUGCGCAUCUCGGAAUGGUGGUAAAGAUGGAAUGGCUGUUUGACGAAAUGCCGUGGGAAAGUAAAGACCUCAUCUCUUGGAACUCUAUCCUUCUCGGUUUCUCGCAAGUCGUCGAUGCUGCUCGGGCACAAGAGGUCUUUAAGAAAAUGCCACUUUGGAACGUAAAGUCGUGGAACAUUCUUCUUUCUGCUUAUGCCCAUGAUUUGCAUGAAUUUCAGAAGACUCGAGCAGUGAUGCCAGAAUGGGAUAUUGUAACUUGGAAUUCUACUCUAUCAACCUACAUUUGCCAAGGUAAACAUGAAAUUUGUGAAAGUGUGUUUGACUAUAUGGUGGAAAAGGACAUUGUUUCGUGGGUGACAAUGGUAGCAGGAUAUGCUCAGAUUGGGCAUUUCGAUCAGGCGAAAUUUCUCCUAAACAGGAUGCCAGUUUGGAACUUGGCUGCCUGGAAUUCGAUCAUUCAGGCUUAUGGCGAAGCUGGCGAGAUGGAAGAAGCUGAAAAAGCAUUUCGAUCUCUGCCAUUUGCGAACAUGAUCUCAUGGACGGCACUUCUCGCAGGAUUAAGAGACAACGACCUUAUUGAGCAGGCCAAAGAUUUGUUUUUCCAGAGAAUGCCUAGGCACAAUGUGGUCUCCUCGACGGUGGCUCUCACUUUUCUCCCGAGAGAGUCGGCUCGAGAGUUACUCAACUCCAUGCCGGAAAAGAAUGCUUUCUCGUAUGGAGCAGUGCUACAGGGACUUAUAGCACAAAAUGCUACUCUGGAAGAGAUCAAGUGUGCCUUUGAUUCCACACGGCCACCUUUCAAGACCAUCUUUCUGUGGAACAUGUUGCUUGGAGCUUAUGCAAACGCUGGAAAGGUUGAAGAUGCAAGAGCUAUCCUAUGCUUUCAAAUGCCCGACCAAGAUAUCAUCUCUUGGAACACUGUCUUGUCCGGUUUUGGCAGGCUCGGGGAUGUUGAAUUUGCUCGAGAGAUCUUUCAGACAAUGCCUGGGAAAGAUAUUGCUUCCUGGAAUGCGCUACUCUCGGCUUACUCUUAUAAUGGAUUUUUCCAGCAUGCAAUAGAGGUAUUCUUAACCAUGCCCGAGAAGAAUUUGGCAUCGUGGAACGCACUUGUGUGUGCUUGCUCCCGAGUUCCAGAUUUUGCAUCUCUUUGUGCUGAAAUCUUCCGGGAGCUAUUGAUAUAUGGUUUCGAUCCUGAUGCUGCAACUUUUACUGGGUUUUUCACUUCGUGCAGUCACUUGGGAACUCUAAAUUUUGCCAUGAGGAAGUUUGUCUCAAAUAGCAUUGACUUUCCAUCAUUUUGCAACAACGAGCAUUAUCAUAGGAUUAUGGCUGACAUGUUAUCUCGGGCUGCUAUAAAAUAACAAUUUAUAAAACCAGAUUUUUCUAACUAAUAUAUCAUAAAACAGAAAAAUAUUCCAGGCGUUUUAGCGACUUCAUCCUCACUUGCCUUACUGUAUGUGCCGAUUCACCUAUUGAUUCGUAAAUCUGCUCGAGCCCCAAGCUGGAUCUGGGGCAGAAAAUCCAGCAGCCUGUAGGUGAGAAUAAAUAGACAAACCGUAUGAAGAUAGGUGGGGCGACUCGUGCGAGAAUAAAUAGACAAACCGUAUGAAGAUAGUGUGUUACCAUUGGUCUGGUCAAGUCAAGUUUGUGAUGUCAACUUAUCCCUCUCCGAGAACAAUUAAGAAUUUCCUAUUUCUGGAAGUAAACUAGUUUCAUAACUUGUUACUAUUGUUACUCUGGGAACUCUCUAGAACUUUGAUGCCCACCGAAGAAAAGAUGAAGAUCAUCAAGCUAAGCAAGUAGUAAAGGAAUAAUAACUCUUAAUAAAAUCAAUGUAUCUCAUAGAAGACAAUUGCCAUUUGCUGCCUUAACACUCUUGGAUCCAAUUCAAGAGCAGCUGUACAUAUUUGCAUUUGCGGGCAUGGAAUGGGAAUCCGUAUCAAGGUCUACCAAAAUCUCCUUGAGGAGUGCCCUCUACGCGGCUGUUAACACAUUUAAGAAGAGGCAAGGAAAGCUGCUUAUUGAUAAAUAUAUUAAGUUCGUUUUUUCUUUCAUGCAGCUCACAGCGUCCCACAUCAAAGAGGAAAUGAAGAAAAUACUGGUAUGGAUGGUACCAUAAGCAUCGAACACAACGAAGAAGUAACGAUGUUUAAAACUAGAGCAGCAGCUCGCGACUGUUUGAUUGAUGCUUUUGGUUUUUUUCUACGUGCAGAGCGCACCAUGGAGUCGGGUGGGUUGGAGAUAUUUCUUUAUGCUUUUGCUUUACUCUAACCAUGAGAAUUCUACUCCAUAUGGAUCCAGGAAAACAGCCAUCAUCAAACUGGACCUCCUCCUGAUAAGCCUAGCCAAGAGCAACAUGAUCCACAAGAGGUCCCCGCACAAAGUCUCCCUUCUGCUCGCCGGUGAAGAAGAUGUCUGGCAGAAGAUCUAAGAGAACGAGUUGUCUCCUCAGCAUCCUCGCAAUGGCUGUACGAGGUGUGCCUCAACUCUUAUUUAAUGUUUUAAAACUCGUAUGCCUUGCGAUAUGCAUGAAAGAUUACAUGAAGGUGGAUAAACAACUCUCGCUCAACUCUUUCAUAAAACUACCGCUAAGAAGAACGAUGCCUGCCGAGCUGGGGAAAAUGGUGCAUAUUCUGCUCCUAAAUGCGUUACAGGACAACCUACUCAUCAACUGGAUCUACGAUAAACAUAAAAUUCUUCUGGGGGCCAUACAACUAUAAACCCGGGGAAGUACCUGACGAGUUUUUUUCGCCAGGAUCUCACACGAGAAUGGUAGAAAGGAAAAAGAAGAUGUGAGGAGGACGAGGACGGGAGGGUAGAGGUGAAGCUUUGAAAUUGAGAAGUGAGGUGAAUGAGGACGAGGACGAGGGAACACAAAGCUUCGGUGAAGUGGAUGGAGAUGAAAAAGAAACCACGCGGUUUUGGUAAGUUGACCAUGAGCUUUUUCGAUAGCCUCCGGCGGUGGAGAGAAGACAAAGAACCUCUCCAGCCAGUCUUCCUUGGACCUUUUCGAGAGCGCAUGGAAGCGGUGAAGAUAACUUCUUGCACCUUCCUUGCGUUUAGAAUCUUGAGAGGAAGAAACGACUCUGCGAAACCAACGCUCAGAUCUCUUGGCAGGACGUCCUUUUGGUCGCAAUGCAAUCUUAGUGGCAGUGGAACAACUGGACACAGGAAACAGGAGAUGAACAGGGAUAUAUAAAGCAGCCAAACCAUUCCAGGGGCCAGCCAUGUCGGCCAACUGUAUUCUUCACCGGGAGAAGUGACCCUCUGGAUGAUCAGUAGCCGCCGCAAGUCUUUUUCUUUAUCUCAUAUUUUUCUCGAAACUUAUUCAUCACAGGCUUGGUUGGUAAAAUAACUUACCAGUUUGAGAAAUUUUCCAGUUCAGUGCCAGGUUGAAGAUUUUUUUCUCAAGUAAGAAAGACCACAACUUUCUCAUGGCUUAUGUGCAGAUUGUAGAUCAACCAAACUAGCUACUCACGAAGACAGUGGCCCUUCGCUCGCAGCAAGCGUAUGUUUGAUUUCUUACUUUAGAAUGGAAUGGAGAUAUUCUUACCUUGCAACUUCAGCUGCCAAAUCCCGUCAGGAUCGACGAAUUCAUUUAAAAACAUGUUUUCUCUUGUGGUGGAGAAGUCUGGAGAGUUCUCUUUGCGAAUUUACUCUUACAAUCUUCUCUUUUCUGUAGAAGCAUGGCGUGAAUGAGACAGAGUGGCGCGGAGGUGGCGGUCUCGCUCAACAAUGUUGCAGUAAUUUUGUGAGCCAUAUCCUUCAACAGUGGGCAAUCAGGUGUCAAGUAAAGUUCCAAGUCUACUGGACUUCAAGGUUGCCGGAAGAAGCAGUAUCUCUUCUUGCUGGCCAACGCGCUGGACGAGGAGCAUUUGCAGGAGCGCUUUACGGCGAGCGUAACAAGGAGCAAGAUAUCUGGCUGGUGAUAAAGCCCAAGUUCAUGGAGAAAUUCCCAGAGCUUCCGGCACGACUCAUCAGGCCCGCAGUGGGUCUCAUCUCCACUGACCCCGUCUGGAUCACAUAAGUUCCUCCUGUUGGGUUUUCUUUCGCUCUCAUUGAUCUUCAUGGAUUCAUGGAUCGAUCGCGCGUGACCUUGUCGGAAUCGAGGAUCGCGGAAGGCGCAUUGCGCUUCGUCGCGUAGUGCCGUGGCGAUCCUGCCCUCGACGAAGAUCUCCACCUGGCUCGCCAGGUUUCCCUCAGCGCUCACGGCAGCUCAAGAAGCCGAAGGCUAGUCCAGAUCACGAGCGGCAUCCCUUGAAGAGACCCCGUGAUCCAUACCAUGUAAGAGCUCCAGGGCAUUGGGGAGUCGAUGGUUCCGAUGAUCACCUCGUUCCACUGCGGCAAGAGCUCGGUGGUGUUUUCAAGAUGCCCUACUUGGGCAUAUCCUGCGCCCAUGGUGUUCCAUGUCACCACGUUUCGUAAAGUGGCCCGGUAAAAGCUUUCCCGUGCCUGUGUGCACGGCAUCUCUGUGUGUAAUCUUCCACGUCGCAGCUCUCUAUUGAGUUACGAAGAUUCCAAGCCUCGACCAAGUUUCCAAACCAAAACAGAUGCCCUCUCGGGGCAUAUGCUGAGACCACAACAUUAUGUGUGAUAUCAUGUAGCUACUUUAAAAACAGAAUGAAAAAGAAAGAGCGAAACAAAUGUGAAUUACUAAGCGGUGACCAUGUGUACGAGCUUAAAAACUCGCGUGGAACCGAGGUGAGAGCUCACAACAUUUUUUUACAUUCAUGAGAAUUCAGGCACCAAAAUAUUAAAGUUCAGGCACACAUAAGCCAAUUACACCAACGGACUAACUUUCCUGAGGCUCUUCAAAUUUUCUGGUAGAGUCUUCCCUGUGGCCUCCGCAAACACCCUCAAAGCUUCAAUGGCCUUCUCUUGUCGAAUAGCAAGCAGCUGGUCCAUAUCCAUUGUUGCUAAAGCAUUAUAACCAUCUAGAAUUUCUAGUGGGGACUCCAACAAGUAGAAGUGAACCAGCAUCGCAUAGACAAUAGCAGCGCUUGAUCCCACAAGUGCAAAGGCUUGAACUUGCCAUCCAACUGGUGGAGCAAUGAUGGCAGCCACAAUACCGGCCACGUAAGCCAUAUACCUCAUGAAACCGACCAUUAUGAACACAACCAAACCGCCGCCGUCGUUCCAAUCAUCAGGCAAAGGUAUUGCUGCUGGAGUGAAAAGUCCACAGUAUAAUAUCACCACCAGCAGAAGCACCACCCACUGAUUCGUGAUCAAUGCGGAAAAAAUACCACUGAUGCCCCCAACAAGAAAACCGUAUGUGAUAAUUUUCUUUCGACCAAAUUGAAAAAGCAUAAAUCCUGCAUGGAGCUCUU